rnacentral:rRNA from 1 species
GACAGAGGUGCCGAGCGUUAGGCGGAAUCACUGGGCUUAAAGCGUGUGUAGGCGGACCGUUAAGUACCUUGUGAAAUCCCCCGGCUCAACCGGGGAACGGCUGGGUAUACUGGCGGUCUUGAGCCAUCCAGGGGCAGUCGGAACAGACGGUGGAGCGGUGAAAUGCGUAGAUAUCGUCUGGAACGCCGAAGGUGAAAACAGACUGCUGGGGAUGUGCUGACGCUGAGACACGAAGGCUAGGGUAGCAAACAGG